UGUACUGGUACCAAAUUUGGUACCAGUACCAUUUUUGGUACCGGUACCAAAUAUGGUACCGGUACCGAUUUUUGGUACCGGUACCGAUUUUUGGUACCGGUACCAGAUUUGGUACCGGUACCA